GGGAGGUCGGUGGCGGACGGGCCACUCGCCAACCCGGUCAGGUCCGGAAGGAAGCAGCCGUAACGAGCCCGGUCUGGGUCGCAGGCUGGCCUCCCACC
rnacentral:SRP_RNA from 1 species